rnacentral:rRNA from 1 species
AGCGAACGCUGGCGGCAGGCUUUACACAUGCAAGUCGAACGCCCCUUCGGGGGAGUGGCAGACGGGUGAGUAACGCGUGGGAAUUUGCCUUUUGGUGGGGAAUAACGCAGGGAAACUUGCGCUAAUACCGCAUAAGCCCGUGAGGGGAAAGAUUUAUCGCCAAAAGAUAAGCCCGCGUCUGAUUAGCUAGUUGGUGAGGUAAUGGCUCACCAAGGCGACGAUCAGUAGCUGGUCUGAGAGGAUGACCAGCCACACUGGGACUGAGACACGGCCCAGAUUCCUACGGGAGGCAGCAGUGGGGAAUAUUGGACAAUGGGCGCAAGCCUGAUCCAGCCAUGCCGCGUGAGUGAUGAAGGCCUUAGGGUUGUAAAGCUCUUUCGUGUGGGAAGAUAAUGACUGUACCACAAGAAUAAGUCCCGGCUAACUUCGUGCCAGCAGCCGCCGUAA